UACGUAGGGACCAAGCGUUGUCCGGAAUCAUUGGGCGUAAAGAGCGUGUAGGCGGCCUGUUAAGUCUGGCGUGAAAUCUCGGGGCUCAACCCCGAGCGGUCGUGAGAAACUGGCAGGCUAGAGUGCGGGAGAGGAGAGUGGAAUUCCUGGUGUAGCGGUGAAAUGCGCAGAUAUCAGGAAGAACACCCGUGGCGAAGGCGGCUCUCUGGAACGCAACUGACGCUGAGACGCGAAAGCGUGGGGAGCAAACAGG
rnacentral:rRNA from 1 species